ensembl:lncRNA
UUUUUAGUCAUAUCUGGUUUCAGAAGUGACCCAGGAGACAAUGGGGGGAAAGGGGGGAAAACAGCCAAUAGCACUUUUUAAGCAUCAGUUACAGUUUUAUUUUAACCACUUUUUCUAAAGAAUGUUGGCUGUAGACUGAUCUUGGUAAUAAAAUGUCUGUGGGAAGUUGCUCAUAGUGUGUAUGCACACAGAUAUGUGACUAUGUCAGAUCGCUUAGCAGUGAAGAAAUGGAAACUGAACUGAGGUCUGGGAUUUUAAGGUCAGUGUUGCCAUUUUUUUCCAUUCAUACUUCCACCAGACGAAUUCAUCUCAGAUUCCACGUGAAGAAAAACUGAACAUUUUCCCUGUAAGUCACUCUUGACGCAUCGCCAUGAGGAAGUUGCAUUGAGGUUUUUGCUGGUUUGUUUGUUUUUUAAUGGUAGACUGUGAGUGGCUGGAGUAAUCUUGUAAUCUUAUUCCAGACAAAGGCGUUCUGGCUGCUUCUUGUCCUCCGGGUUGAAUGAAGAGCGGAGGGAGUGCAUCUUGUGUUUGUGUGUGUAUGUGUUUGGGGGUUGUGGAGUAGUACUUGGGGUGAUGUGAGGCGUUUCAGUGCUGCAGCCCUAUUCACCGAUGUCCUUCAGUAUUCACACCACGCACCGCUCCAACACGGUCAAGUUAGCCCAUAUAAGCGUGUGUGACUUCCUGCACAGAGCAGAUUCCGCCCUUAUGGAGAGCUUGUUUUUUUUUUUUUCUCUCGCGACAUUUGGGUAUGCAAGUAAAAAUGACAUGGGAAUAAAUGCAUGCACGGUGUUUUAGUUGUACAUCUGCAUUAUCUGUCAGGCCCAUAGCUGCAAUUAAACUGCACAAGACGAGGCAAAAAUACCGUCCAAAUUCUGAUUUGGCGUGCACUGUGACUUGAGGUUCGCUAUAAUUUUACCUGCUGAUGCUUCCUUCAUCACUGUGUUGGAUUUGGUCGUUAAAUAAAAUAAUUGGUCGUUAAAUAGCUGCUGUCUGCACAGCACACAGUCGGUUGUAAUCACAUUUCUUAUGACAUCCUGAUUUCAGUUAUAUUUGAAAGGUUUUCACAAAAUAAUUUGAAUGCAUUUGACUGAGUGUAGUGCGAUAUACUGUAUUUGACUUUUGUAAAACACUAAAACAAAUCUAGUUGGGAGUAAUAUAUUUCAUAGGCACUGUUUGUUUCUAAUUGAACUCUUUCACAAGAGUGACUAGUAACAGUGUACAACCAGAGGCAUUCAGAUUGACUUUGAUAUUGCAUGUGGUUCAUUAUUAAGGUAUACAGCUGAAAU